CAUCUUUACGCGUUUUUAUGGGCUUAGGCCCUAGUCGGGUGUAUAGCCAGACUCUAAUUUAUUGAUUGGA
rnacentral:sRNA from 16 species